UUUCGGACGAUCGAAUAUUUUUUUCUUCCCCCGGAAGGGGAAGGAAUCAAAGGGCUAUGGAGUUUAGAGUCGAUUCAUUCGGCUGAGGUUGAAGCAAUUUGAAUCGGAGGGUUGUACAUGAUCAUAAGCUAGUGAAUUUGAGAUCGCUGGAGGAGGAGUAUCUGUAUCUUAACCUUCAUUAUAUGAUAGUUGCUACACUGAAAACUGACAAGGUGCGUGUUGGCCGAGCCAAGUGAAGAGCCCCCAGCUGAUGUUUGUUCUGUUGACUGGUAGACUCGAGGAAAGAGACUGCUUGCAGAGCCAAAUUCAAAGGCUAAGGUGAAACCGAAGACUGAUUUUGGAGUUGUGAGUCAUUGGCAAAUUCCCUUGCGCUUAGGAUGGCUGGUGUUACGAGUUUAACGGAUGAUCCAGUUGGUGGAACCAUAAUGAGGAUGCCUAGCCUAGUGGCGAGCCGACAGGUCUUUUGAUAGAUGCUGCUAUGGAGCUUGUCACUCCCUGGGUUAAAGAAAUCUCUGUAGAUGAACGUAGGGAAGCACUUAUAAGAGCUAGCAAAUAUGCUUUGACUAGAGGCGUAACAACUGUUGUUGAUCUUGGAAGAAGAUGAUGAUAGGGACUUGCUUGUUUUUCCCGAUAACGACAUGG